rnacentral:rRNA from 1 species
GAUGAACGCUGGCGGCGUGCUUAACACAUGCAAGUCGAACGGAAAGGCUCCUGCUUGCAGGGGUACUCGAGUGGCGAACGGGUGAGUAACACGUGGGUGAUCUGCCCAGCACUUCGGGAUAAGCCUGGGAAACUGGGUCUAAUACCGGAUAGGACGAUGGUUUGGAUGCCAUUGUGGAAAGUUUUUUCGGUGUGGGAUGAGCUCGCGGCCUAUCAGCUUGUUGGUGGGGUAAUGGCCUACCAAGGCGUCGACGGGUAGCCGGCCUGAGAGGGUGCACGGCCACAUUGGGACUGAGAUACGGCCCAGACUCCUACGGGAGGCAGCAGUGGGGAAUAUUGCACAAUGGGCGCAAGCCUGAUGCAGCGACGCCGCGUGGGGGAUGACGGCCUUCGGGUUGUAAACUCCUUUCGCUAGGGACGAAGCGCAAGUGACGGUACCUGGAGAAGAAGCACCGGCUAACUACGU